GCACAGGGGGAGGGCAGGUGUGCACAUGGUGUGUGUGCAGGGGAGGGCAGGUGUGCACAUGGUGUGUGUGCAGGGGAGGGCAGGUGUGCACAUGGUGUGUGUGCAGGGGAGGGCAGGUGUGCACAUGGUGUGUGUGCAGGACAGGGCAGGUGUGCACAUGGUGUGUGUGCAGGGGAGGGCAGGUGUGCACAUGGCUGUGUGUGCAGGGGAGGGCAGGUGUGCACAUGGUGUGUGUGCAGGGGAGGGCAGGUGUGCUCCUGUGUGUGUGUUCAGGGGAGGGCAGGUGUGCCUAUUUAGAAGGCGGGCCCACGGGGUCUGCCAUAGGUCUCUUGGUGAUGGUAUUUUCUCUGGGGACAUUGCUGGGCCACCUUGCCAGGCAGCUGUGUUCUGGCCCCCACCACGUGCACACUCUGCACAGCCUGAUGACCUCCGUUGUCAGCCCGUGAGCUAGCAGAGCAGGGACCCUGUCCUGUUGCCCGGCGAGGGGCAGGAGGCUGUCCCAAGCUCUGAUGCAGGGGAGUCAGGGGAGGGUGGAUGGUCCCAGCUUCCCUCCCACCUCCCUAGCCCCAGGAUCCUGGCUACCUGGGGCCACUCAGCAUUGCCUGUGCCU